UCCUCGAUCAGGCGGGCCGGUUGCCCGACGCGGUCACCGCGUGUGUGGGUGGCGGUUCGAAUGCCAUCGGCGUGUUCCACGCCUUCAUCGAUGAUCCA
rnacentral:tRNA from 2 species